GUCCUUUUGUUUUUAUUUAAGGUCAGACCUGCCCAGUGAAAAGUUUUAACGGCCGCGGUAUAUUGACCGUGCAAAGGUAGCAUAAUCAUUAGUCUUUUAAUAGGAGGCUGGUAUGAAGGGUUUAACGAAACAUAAUCUGUCUCAUUUAUAAUAAUUUGUAAUUUAACUUUUAAGUUAAAAGGCUUAAAUUUUAUUGUUGGACGAGAAGACCCUAUAGAGCUUUACAUAAUUUAUUUAAAUAUUAUAUUGUUGAAUAAUUUUAUAUUAAUAUAAAUUUUGUUUUGUUGGGGUGACAAGAAAUAUAUAUUUAACUUUUAUUAUUAAAUAAUCAUUAAUUUAUGAAUAUUGGAUCCAAUAUUAUUGAUCAUUAGAUUAAGUUACCUUAGGGAUAACAGCGUAAUCUUCUUUCAGAGUUCAAAUUUACAAGAAGGCUUGCGACCUCGAUGUUGGAUUAAGAUUAUAAUUAGGUGCAGUAGCUUAAUUAAUAGGUCUGUUCGACCUUUAAAUUCUUACAUGAUCUGAGUUCAGACCGG
rnacentral:rRNA from 1 species